CAGCCGUAAACUAUGCGCGUUAGGUGUAUCGGUGACCACGAGUUACCGAGGUGCCGAAGGGAAACCGUGAAACGUGCCGCCUGGGAAGUACGGUCGCAAGGCUGGAACUUAAAGGAAUUGGCGGGGGAGCACCACAACAGGUGGAGCCUGCGGUUUAAUUGGACUCAACGCCGGGAAGCUCACCGGAUAGGACAGCAGAAUGAUUGCCGGGCUGAAGACUCUGCAUGACUAGCUGAGAGGAGGUGCAUGGCGUAGACGUCU
rnacentral:rRNA from 1 species